rnacentral:rRNA from 1 species
AGAGUUUGAUCCUGGCUCAGAUUGAACGCUGGCGGCAGGCCUAACACAUGCAAGUCGAGCGGUAACAGGGGUAGCUUGCUACCCGCUGACGAGCGGCGGACGGGUGAGUAAUGCAUAGGAAUUUACCCGAUAGUGGGGGAUAACCUGGGGAAACCCAGGCUAAUACCGCAUACGUCCUACGGGAGAAAGGGGGCUCCGGCUCCCGCUAUCGGAUGAGCCUAUGCCGGAUUAGCUGGUUGGUGAGGUAAUGGCUCACCAAGGCGACGAUCCGUAGCUGGUCUGAGAGGAUGAUCAGCCACAUCGGGACUGAGACACGGCCCGAACUCCUACGGGAGGCAGCAGUGGGGAAUAUUGGACAAUGGGGGCAACCCUGAUCCAGCCAUGCCGCGUGUGUGAAGAAGGCCCUCGGGUUGUAAAGCACUUUCAGUGAGGAAGAACGCCUGAUGGUUAAUACCCGUCAGGAAAGACAUCACUCACAGAAGAAGCACCGGCUAACUCCGUGCCAGCAGCCGCGGUAAUACGGAGGGUGCAAGCGUUAAUCGGAAUUACUGGGCGUAAAGCGCGCGUAGGUGGCUUGAUAAGCCGGUUGUGAAAGCCCCGGGCUCAACCUGGGAACGGCAUCCGGAACUGUCAGGCUAGAGUGCAGGAGAGGAAGGUAGAAUUCCCGGUGUAGCGGUGAAAUGCGUAGAGAUCGGGAGGAAUACCAGUGGCGAAGGCGGCCUUCUGGACUGACACUGACACUGAAGUGCGAAAGCGUGGGUAGCAAAC